AGACCACGGUGAGGACAUCUUCUUUGAAGAUCUUUAAAUCUCUUUCAAACUUCACAUAACGACUCACCUUUAUGUUGAGUGAAACCUGUCAUAUCCAUACGAAGUUU